rnacentral:sRNA from 1 species
CUGAGCUUGAUUUCUCUGCUGGGAUUUGAGAUGUGUGGGAUUUGUGAGGUGUUGGGUCCAGGCAGAGACUAUAUUGAGCUUUGGGUUUACAUCUUGGGAGAGGGCUAAGUGUUUCUAUUUGGGUUUUGGGGCUUGGUUGGGGUAGGAGAUCUGAGCUUGAUUUCUCUGUUGGAAUUUGAAGUUUAGGUAGCAGUCACCAUUAUGCUGAAAGCGGUGAUCCUGAUUGGAGGCCCUCAAAAGGGAACUCGCUUCAGACCUUUGUCUUUUGAGGUGCCCAAACCACUGUUUCCUGUGGCAGGAGUCCCUAUGAUCCAACACCAUAUUGAAGCCUGUGCCCAGGUAACCUCAGGGGCUCCCCUCUCUCACCUCACUUCCUGCUCAUCUUCAUGCUGUUUUCCCCUUUCCCAACCAUGAUCUCUUCCCACCAGGCAUAACUCCAAGGACCAUCAUUCACAGAUGACAAUGUGAAUGGCGCCCCCUCAAGUUAUGCUGUGCAGCUGCCCUGCUGUCUUCCCCUAAUCUAGUUUCUCAUCUGGCCUCUUCCUGCUCAGAUUUCACUCCUAUUUUUAAAGUGUGGAAUGUGAGAUCAGGCAAGGAUCUUGGAGACAAUGUAAAGCCGUAGCAUGGAGACUCUUAAUGAUAACCAAGCACAAAUUCAUAUCCUUGAUCACCCUGAUGCUCAUUUCUUUAUUGCUUUUCGUAUUGGGCCAGGCAAGGUUUUGGUUUGAAUUCAGUCUCUGCCUGCUGUGAGGCCUGCAACAAAUAACACACCCUCUCUGACACUCAGUUUCCUUAUGUGUAAAUGGGGGUGAUUAGACCUACCUUGUUGGGUGGUGAAGCUUAGAAAUGAUAUUUGUAAAAUGCCUAGUACAACACAGACCCUUGAUAAAUGAUACCCUUACCUCAUGCUGAUCUCAAGCUUAGGCUGACAGAUAAUAAAAAUGGGGGGUGGGAAUGGAUUAAUGCAGCUUGGUAGGCAAAGUCUUUCUUAGAGUGAGUCCCAGUUCAGGUUGGUGGGGGUAAUAAUAAUUGAUUGAAAGAUCAGGCCUGGCAUGGUAGCUCAUGUCUGUAAUCCCAACGCUUCUUGAGGCCAAGUCAGGAGGAUCACUUGAGGCCAGGAGUUCUAGCCUAGCUUUGGCAACAUGAAGAGACCCCUUCUCUACAAAAAGUUUAAAAAUUAGCUAGAUGUGAUGGGCUGGCUGUAGUCCUAGCUGUUCUAGAGGCUGAGGCAGGUGGUGACAUGGCUGUAGUCCUCAAUACUCGGGAGGCUGAGGUGGGAGGAUCACUUGAGCCCAGGAGGUGGAGGCUGCAGUGAGCCAAAAUCAUGCCACUGCACUCCAGCCUGGGCAACAGAGCGAGACCUUUUCUCACAAAAAUAAAACAAAAAAAGAUCAGGCCUCCAACUUCCUCCAAAUUCCUCAUUGUCCAGAGGAGAAAAUAGCCCAGAGUGGUGAGUGCCCUGGGGCUCCACAGCUGAGACUGAAACUGGUUUCUGGACUUUGGGCCAGUACCAAGGAUUUCCCCAACAUCCCCUCCUAUUAGAUAUUCUUCCUCCCAGCCUCUUCCCUUGUCCUCAGGUCCCUGGAAUGCAGGAGAUUCUGCUCAUUGGCUUCUACCAACCUGAUGAGCCCCUCACCCAGUUCCUAGAAGCUGCCCAGCAGGAGUUUAACCUUCCAGUCAGGUGUUUGUGCACACACUCGUAUAUGGUGGGGGGGGUGGGGAGGCCCUAGGCCUCUGAGUUCUUGGGAGUGGGUUGAGUCAGCAUUUGCCGGAGUUCAUCCUCACCUACUAGAAGGAUUCUUAUUUGGACAUCACUGAAUCCCUGAAUAUAUAGAGUUUCUCUGUGGGCCUUGGGCAGGAGUACUUCUGGGAGCAAGCGGUGGGGGUCAGGUGCCCUGGCUCAUGGUAUCUAUUUCCUAAGAUCCACUGAGCUGGCUCUCGGGUUCCUGGGGACAGGUACCUGCAGGAAUUUGCCCCCCUAGGCACAGGGGGUGGUCUCUACCAUUUUCGAGACCAGAUCCUGGCUGGGAGCCCCGAGGCAUUCUUCGUGCUCAAUGCUGAUGUCUGCUCCGACUUCCCCUUGAGUGCUAUGUUGGAAGCCCACCGACGCCAGCGUCACCCUUUCUUACUCCUUGGCACUACGGCUAACAGGACGCAAUCCCUCAACUACGGCUGCAUCGUUGAGAAUCCACAGACACACGAGGUAUUGCACUAUGUGGAGAAACCCAGCACAUUUAUCAGUGACAUCAUCAACUGCGGCAUCUACCUCUUUUCUCCUGAAGCCCUGAAGCCUCUUCGGGAUGUCUUCCAGCGUAAUCAGCAGGAUGGGCAAUUGUGAGGCAGGCCCCAUAGCCCUGUGACCCCAAGUACACCCAGUCACGGACCCCAACACAUACCAGUCUCUGCAGGCUCCGUCUCAACUUGCUCACCUUCCUCCUCCCCUUGCCAUCUCCAGCAGAGCCUCCUGAGUCCCUCCCCUUCUAACCUCAUUCUGUCCCUCUUCCUUAUCCAUCCCAGUUCCUCCUCUGUCACUGCCUGCCCACUCCCCUUCUGGUCCAUUUCUCCUAAGCCCUGAGUGUCCCAGAGAUGUCUUUCAGAACAGACGGCAACACACAGUUGGGCGCACACACGCUCGGGUGCAGACGUGUGCACGUGCACACACAGACAGACAUGCACACUCUCAGGCUGAGGCUCCCCUUGGAACAUAGCACCAGAGCCCUGCUCACCAGUCCCAGGGUCUUUCCUCCUAGGGCUAGAAGCUGUUCCCUUCUAGGGAUCCUUGCCUUACCCCCACAUCGCCCCAUCUAAGGCCUCCUCUGCUCAUAGCCAUUUCUCACUCCCACCCGUGUCUCUGCUUCCCUCUCCAUCUCUCCUGGCCUCUCUGUCUCUGUCUCUGCUGAGCUGGCAUCUCUACCAUCUCUCUCUCCCUCUCUUUCUGUGACUGUCUCUGCCCUCACCAGCUGCCUUGCUCUGGGGUGAGUCUGUCUGUGUUUCAUUCCAUCCAAUGAGGGGGAGGGUAACUUGGAGGGGGUGAAGGACUGAAUAGGGAUGAGAAUGUGAAAAUGGGGGGAACUCCUUCUGGAAAUGGGGCAGGGAUGGGAAGCAGGCCUCUGCCUGGGGCUCCCUUGUGAUAGCACCCACCCAAGCGGGGGCUGGGUGGGAGAGUUUCCUGGGAUGUGAGCAGCCCUUUGGAGAGGACUGGACCAGACCUGGAGAGAGGGGCUUAGAGAGGUGGUGGGAAUCCUCCCACUCCUGUCCCUGGGAGACUGUGUUAGCCCCACAGUUGGGGCUCAGCUGGGGGACUGAUGUCAGCAUUCUUCAUCUCUGCCAGGGAGGACUCACCAGGCUCGUGGCCAGGGGCAGGUACCAUCCGCCUAGAGCAGGAUGUGUUUUCAGCCCUGGCAGGGCGGGGCCAGAUAUACGUGCAUCUCACUGAUGGUAUCUGGAGCCAGAUCAAGUCCGCAGGGUAUGGAAAGCUGGGUCCCCUGGGGAUUGAAACUUUGGGGUGGUGGGCACAGGCCCUGCUGACCCCUGAGCCCCUGCCCCCCUUGUGGCCCCCAGUUCAGCCCUCUACGCCUCCCGCCUCUACCUGAGCCGAUACCAGGACACUCACCCAGAACGGCUGGCCAAGCACACUCCAGGGGGCCCAUGGAUCCGAGGUACCCAGCCUGCCCCAAUUCCUAACCUUUGGCUUCCACCCCAUUCCCUCUGCCCUCUGAACCAAGAUUCUUGACCUCGAGUCCAGAGUUAAAGCCUCAAUCCCUGCCCCUUCCUGAUCAAAUUCGGUUUGGGAUAUUUGCCCCCAGGGCCUCUCUUCUGCUUCUAGGGAAUGUGUACAUCCACCCGACCGCCAAGGUGGCCCCCUCGGCUGUGGUGAGUGCUGGUCCCAGCCCCAGGGAGGGAAGGGUGGUGGUCGGAUGGAUGGAAGGUGGCCACGCUGCCUGAGUUCUGGGUGCCGGUUUCUUCACUUUGUCACAGCCUAUUGUGUGUCCUCGAGCAGGUCACUUCUGCGUUAUCUGUUCUAGAAGGGAGUUGGGUUUGGGGAUCCUCCAAGUUCCUCCAGGGCUUAUGGUGUGUGCUUCUCUCCACAGCUGGGCCCCAACGUCUCCAUCGGGAAGGGGGUGACCGUGGGUGAGGGUGUGCGGCUCCGGGAGAGCAUUGUCCUCCAUGGAGCCACUUUGCAGGAGCACACGUGUGUUCUGCAUAGCAUCGUGGGCUGGGGGAGCACCGUGGGACGCUGGGCCCGCGUGGAGGGUACCCCCAAUGACCCCAACCCCAACGAUCCCCGAGCCCGCAUGGACAGUGAGAGCCUCUUCAAAGACGGGAAGCUGCUGCCUGCCAUCACCAUCCUGGGUAUGGCUUCCUGGGGGCCAGGGCGGGGGGAACCCCACAGCUGAUGGCCAGUGGCCCCGGGGAGCAUUCGUUCCUCUGUGUGCACGCGUGUUUCUUCUUUUAGCAAACAGUUACCAAGGGCCUGCUCUGUGCCAGGCCCUGUGUGAGUCACCAGGGGCAUGAGACCAGGGGCACAGAUGGGCAGGAGGGAUCCCUCCCUGCUGGCAGUGGCCCCCAGCCCCCUGCCCCUGUCUCCCGUCCCAUGACCUCCUCUGGUGCCCUCAUCCAUGCUGCAGGCUGCCGAGUCCGGAUCCCUGCCGAGGUGCUCAUCCUGAACUCGAUUGUUCUGCCACACAAGGAGCUGAGCCGAAGCUUCACCAACCAGAUCAUCCUCUGAGUGGGGCUGCCAGAAGGCCCCCAGCUCCUACCCACUCCCCUUGAGGCUGCCGCCUUCUUGGCCAGCCUCUGUCCAGAAAGGACCAGAAAGGACCAGGCAGGAUCGUCACACGCCAGGGAGCAAUGUGGGUGGCCUGGGGACUCCUGGGUUUUCUCCCUCCCAACUCCCUAAUAAACCCCGUGAACCUUG